rnacentral:rRNA from 1 species
AUUGAACGCUGGCGGCAUGCUCUACACAUGCAAGUCGAACGGUAACAGGCCGCAAGGUGCUGACGAGUGGCGAACGGGUGAGUAAUGCAUCGGAACGUGCCCAGUCGUGGGGGAUAACUACUCGAAAGAGUAGCUAAUGCCGCAUACGAUCUAUGGAUGAAAGCGGGGGACCGUAAGGCCUCGCGCGAUUGGAGCGGCCGAUGUCAGAUUAGGUAGUUGGUGGGGUAAAGGCUCACCAAGCCAACGAUCUGUAGCUGGUCUGAGAGGACGACCAGCCACACUGGGACUGAGACACGGCCCAGACUCCUACGGGAGGCAGCAGUGGGGAAUUUUGGACAAUGGGCGCAAGCCUGAUCCAGCAAUGCCGCGUGCAGGAAGAAGGCCUUCGGGUUGUAAACUGCUUUUGUACGGAACGAAACGGCUCUGGUUAAUACCCGGGGCUAAUGACGGUACCGUAAGAAUAAGCACCGGCUAACUACGUG